GACGAACGCUGGCGGCGUGCUUAACACAUGCAAGUCGAACGGAAAGGCCCUGCUUUUGUGGGGUGCUCGAGUGGCGAACGGGUGAGUAACACGUGAGUAACCUGCCCUUGACUUUGGGAUAACUUCAGGAAACUGGGGCUAAUACCGGAUAGGAGCUCCUGCUGCAUGGUGGGGGUUGGAAAGUUUCGGCGGUUGGGGAUGGACUCGCGGCUUAUCAGCUUGUUGGUGGGGUAGUGGCUUACCAAGGCUUUGACGGGUAGCCGGCCUGAGAGGGUGACCGGCCACAUUGGGACUGAGAUGGCCCAGACUCCUACGGGAGGCAGCAGUGGGGAAUAUUGCACAAUGGGCGGAAGCCUGAUGCAGCAACGCCGCGUGCGGGAUGACGGCCUUCGGGUUGUAAACCGCUUUCGCCUGUGACGAAGCGUGAGUGACGGUAAUGGGUAAAGAAGCACCGGCUAACUACGUG
rnacentral:rRNA from 1 species